UAGCUGCUAUCGAGCUCCAGCUACAAAUGGAUAAGACUUUGGUCUGAUUGUAUAGGAGUUUUUGAACUAAAAAAGGAGCAAUAGCUUCCCUCUUGUUUUAUCAAGAGGGCGUUAUUGCUCCUUUUUUUAUUUAGUAGUAUUUACCUUACACAGUUUCUUUAAAAAUAAGAAGGGGCUUUUCUAGUUUGGUUCGAUUAGCGUGUUUUAUCUUUGUAUUAAUUUCUAUUAUAGGUUUAUAUAUCCUUUUCCCAAUCGUUUAUGAUUAAUUUCUAUUAUAGGUUUAUAUAUCCUUUUCCCAAUCGUUUAUGAAGUUUUAUUUCCAAUUCAAUUUCAAUCUAAAAUAGAUAAAAAUUAUAAUUUUUAUUAUUUAUUGCUUUUAUUUUAGAAAUAAGAAAGAAAUAAUAUGCUCUUUUUUUAUGUUAAUGGAAAAAUAAAAUAUAGUAACAGUAGAUAAUACUAGAUAAUAGGGGCGGAUGUAGCCAAGUGGAUCAAGGCAGUGGAUUUGUGAAU
rnacentral:misc_RNA from 3 species